rnacentral:rRNA from 1 species
GAUGAACGCUGGCGGCGUGCCUAAUACAUGCAAGUCGAGCGAACAGACGAGGAGCUUGCUCCUCUGACGUUAGCGGCGGACGGGUGAGUAACACGUGGAUAACCUACCUAUAAGACUGGGAUAACUUCGGGAAACCGGAGCUAAUACCGGAUAAUAUAUUGAACCGCAUGGUUCAAUAGUGAAAGACGGUUUUGCUGUCACUUAUAGAUGGAUCCGCGCCGCAUUAGCUAGUUGGUAAGGUAACGGCUUACCAAGGCGACGAUGCGUAGCCGACCUGAGAGGGUGAUCGGCCACACUGGAACUGAGACACGGUCCAGACUCCUACGGGAGGCAGCAGUAGGGAAUCUUCCGCAAAGGGCGAAAGCCUGACGGAGCAACGCCGCGUGAGUGAUGAAGGUCUUCGGAUCGUAAAACUCUGUUAUUAGGGAAGAACAAAUGUGUAAGUAACUAUGCACGUCUUGACGGUACCGAAUCAGAAAGCCACGGCUAACUACGUG